rnacentral:sRNA from 1 species
CUUCUUCCACUUGUUGCGGACAUAUAAAGUGUAUGUGGGCAUCAAUGCCUCCCGCGGUCAGAAUAGAACCUUCUCCAGCAAUCACUUCCGUGCCAGGGCCAACCACAAUAUCCACAUUAUCUUGCACGUCUGGGUUGCCCGCUUUACCCACUUUAAAAAUACGGCCAUCUUUGAUGCCAACAUCGCCUUUCACAAUUCCCCAAUGGUCCAACACCAGAGCAUUGGUAAUCACCAAAUCCACGGCAAUCUCAUUGGUCACUUGGCUUUGUCCCAUACCGUCACGAAUG